rnacentral:rRNA from 1 species
GAUGAACGCUGGCGGCGUGCCUAAUACAUGCAAGUCGAGCGAACGGACGAGAAGCUUGCUUCUCUGAUGUUAGCGGCGGACGGGUGAGUAACACGUGGAUAACCUACCUAUAAGACUGGGAUAACUUCGGGAAACCGUAGCUAAUACCGGAUAAUAUUUUGAACCGCAUGGUUCAAAAGUGAAAGACGGUCUUGCUGUCACUUAUAGAUAGAUCCGCGCUGCAUUAGCUAGUUGGUAAGGUAACGGCUUACCAAGGCAACGAUGCAUAGCCGACCUGAGAGGGUGAUCGGCCACACUGGAACUGAGACACGGUCCAGACUCCUACGGGAGGCAGCAGUAGGGAAUCUUCCGCAAUGGGCGAAAGCCUGACGGAGCAACGCCGCGUGAGUGAUGAAGGUCUUCGGAUCGUAAAACUCUGUUAUUAGGGAAGAACAUAUGUGUAAGUAACUGUGCACAUCUUGACGGUACCGAAUCAGAAAGCCACGGCUAACUACGU